CAAAUGACUCUGUUCCCUCAAAAGAAUUUUUGGUAAUACUAUCAAUAACUUCUAGAUUCUAAUAUAAAUAAAUGAUGUAGCUUUUCUAGUACACUGCUAUGUAGCUUCCUCAAAUACUUCUAAUACUUACAAAAUUCUUAAAACAGAUUUUUGGGGUGCCACAAGCCUGAGACAAAACAAAUUUCCAUUUUCAACCAGAAUGAAAUUAAGAAAACAGAUAAAAGCCACAUACAAAAUCUCAUUGAGAGUCUUUUUGCUUUUUAACUAUAACAGAAAUUUACAACUAAAAUGAAAAGUGCCUCGGAAUGAAAUAUUAAAUCCAAGCUGGUGUCUGUCCACCUGUCCUUAGGAAGUCUCAACUUACGAAGUCCACUAAAUUUCUCAAAAAAGAGUUUUAUCACUUUGAAUUUGUCCCCUGCUUAAAAUCCCCCAAAAUAUACAAUAUCUAAUAAAAAUCAGCCUUUUACUUAUAAAAUAAAUUCAUUUAUCAGCAUGAGAA